rnacentral:tRNA from 1 species
ACCUUUGGGAUAGCUCAGUUGGUAGAGCAUGAGGCUCUUCAUCUCAGGGUUGUGGGUUCGAGCCACACGUUGGGUG